rnacentral:rRNA from 1 species
GUGCCAGCAGCAGCGGUAAUACGGAGGGUGCAAGCGUUAAUCGGAAUUACUGGGCGUAAAGCGCACGCAGGCGGUCUGUCAAGUCGGAUGUGAAAUCCCCGGACUCAACCUGGGAACUGCAUUCGAAACUGGCAGGCUAGAGUCUUGUAGAGGGGGGUAGAAUUCCAGGUGUAGCGGUGAAAUGCGUAGAGAUCUGGAGGAAUACCGGUGGCGAAGGCGGCCCCCUGGACAAAGACUGACGCUCAGGUGCGAAAGCGUGGGGAGCAAACAGGAUUAGAUACCCUGGUAGUCCACGCCGUAAACGAUGUCGACUUGGAGGUUGUGCCCUUGAGGCGUGGCUUCCGGAGCUAACGCGUUAAGUCGACCGCCUGGGGAGUACGGCCGCAAGGUUAAAACUCAAAUGAAUUGACGGGGGCCCGCACAAGCGGUGGAGCAUGUGGUUUAAUUCGAUGCAACGCGAAGAACCUUACCUACUCUUGACAUCCAGAGAACUUAGCAGAGAUGCUUUGGUGCCUUCGGGAACU